GCCAGCAGCCGCGGUAAUACCAGCUCCAAUAGCGUAUAUUUAAGUUGUUGCAGUUAAAAAGCUCGUAGUUGGAUUUCGGGUGGGUUCUAGCGGUCCGCCUAUGGUGAGUACUGCUAUGGCCUUCCUUUCUGUCGGGGACGGGCUUCUGGGCUUCACUGUCCGGGACUCGGAGUCGACGUGGUUACUUUGAGUAAAUUAGAGUGUUCAAAGCAGGCUUACGCCCUGAAUACUUUAGCAUGGAAUAACACGAUAGGACUCUGGCCUAUCUUGUUGGUCUGUAGGACUGGAGUAAUGAUUAAGAGGGACAGUCGGGGGCAUUCGUAUUUCAUUGUCAGAGGUGAAAUUCUUGGAUUUAUGAAAGACGAACUACUGCGAAAGCAUUUGCCAAGGAUGUUUUCAUUAAUCAAGAACGAAAGUUGGGGGCUCGAAGACGAUUAGAUACCGUCGUAGUCUCAACCAUAAACGAUGCCGACUAGGGAUUGGCGAA
rnacentral:rRNA from 1 species